rnacentral:rRNA from 1 species
UCCCUAGAGCUUCGAGCUCUCUAAAGGGUUGUCGUAGACUACGACGUUGAUAGGCAGGGUGUGUAAGCGCUGUGAGGCGUUGAGCUAACCUGUACUAAUUGCCCGUGCGGCUUAACCAUACAACACCCAAG